UGCCAGCCGCCGCGGUAAUACGGAGGGAUCGAACGUUAAUCGGAAUCAUUGGGUUUAAAGGGUGCGCAGGCGGAACUUUAAGUCAGUGGUGAAAUCUUGCCGCUUAACGGUAAAAUUGCCAUUGAUACUGAAGUUCUUGAAUGUAGUUGAGGUAGGCGGAAUGUGUUGUGUAGCGGUGAAAUGCAUAGAUAUGACACAGAACGCCAAUUGCGAAGGCAGCUUACUAAGCUACGAUUGACGCUGAGGCACGAAAGCGUGGGGAGCGAACAGGAUUAGAUA
rnacentral:rRNA from 1 species